AUGUCUAAGUAUAAAUGAAUACACAGUAAAACUGCGAACGGCUCAUUCAAACAGUUAUAGGUUAUUUGAUAUUUCGGAUACUUCCAAUAUGGAUACCCGUAGUAAUUCUAGGGCUAAUACAUGCGUUGCGGGGGACUUCACGGAACCCCAGUAUUAUUAGAUAUUCUUAAACCAUCAUUCCGCAAGGUCUACUGAGAUGAUUCAUGAUAACUAGUCGAAUGCCGGUUCGUACCGGCAUAUGUCAUUCAUGUUUCUGCUACCCAUCAGCUUGAUUGUAGUGUAUUGGACAACAAUGGCAUUCACGGGCAACCGGGGGAUUAGGGUUCGAUUCCGGAGAGGGAGCCUGAUAAACGGCUACCACUUCUACGGAAGGCAGCAGGCGCGAAAAUUAUCCAAUCCUGACUCAGGGAGGUAGUGAGACAAAUAAUGAACUGGGAUUAUUUUAUCCUGGGAUCACAAUGGGCUUGAUUUGCAAACUUGAUAUUAGCGAGGAACAAUUGGAGGGCAAGUCUGGUGCCAGCAGCCGCGGUAAUUCCAGCUCCAAUAGUGUAUAUUAACGUUCCUGCAGUUAUUCGAUGCUCGUAGUUGGAUUUCUGGGGGUCGAGACAGGGAGGGCGGCUAUGGCCGCCACCAGUCUUUUCCCUCGUCCGCCUGUUAACGGCGAUCGAGAUUGAAUUCUCGACGCCGGGCUCAGGCACUUUGAUUUAAUUCUCUUGAACAAAUUAUAGUGUUUCAGGCAGGCGUGCGCCGGAAUACAUUAGCAUGGAAUAAUCUUACGGACCGUGUGUGGGUUCGCCCACAUUUCCUUAUUUGUUGGUUUCUCUAUUUUAAGGACACGGAAUGAUUAAUAGGGAUAAUUUAAGAAUUAUAUCUCACAAGGGGAAGGCAUUAGUAUUUAAUUUCCAGAGUGAAAUUCUUUGAAAUUUCUUAAGACUAACUUAUGCAAAAGCAUUUUUCUGCCAAGAAUGUUUUUAUCUUAUCGACCAGACGAAAGUUAGGGGAUCAAAGACGAUCAAAUACCGUCCUAGUCUUAACCAUAAACUUUGCCGACUAGGGAUCGGAGGGCGUGCACAUUCGCCUUCGGCACCUUACGAAAAUCAUAAGUAUUUNGGUUCUGGGGUANUANGUCCCAGGCUGAAACUUUAAGGAUUGACGGAAGGCACCACCAGGAAGUGGACCU
rnacentral:rRNA from 1 species